rnacentral:rRNA from 1 species
CCUACGGGCGACAGCAGUGAGGAAUAUUGGUCAAUGGACGCAAGUCUGAACCAGCCAUGCCGCGUGCAGGAAGACGGCCCUAUGAGUUGUAAACUGCUUUUGUACGAGGGUAAACUCAGUUACGUGUACCUUUCUGAAUGUACCGUACGAAUAAGGAUCGGCUAACUCCGUGCCAGCAGCCGCGGUAAUACGGAGGAUUCAAGCGUUAUCCGGAUUUAUUGGGUUUAAAGGGUGCGUAGACGGUCGGUUAAGUCAGAGGUGAAAUCCCGAGGCUCAACUUCGGAAUUGCCUCUGAUACUGGUCGGCUAGAGAGUAGUUGCGGUAGGCGGAAUGUAUGGUGUAGCGGUGAAAUGCUUAGAGAUCAUACAGAACACCGAUUGCGAAGGCAGCUUACCAAGCUACAUCUGACGUUGAGGCACGAAAGCGUGGGGAGCAAACAGGAUUAGAUACCCGUGUAGUC